CCUACGGGUGGCAGCAGUCGAGAAUCAUUCACAAUGGGGGAAACCCUGAUGGUGCGACGCCGCGUGGGGGAAUGAAGGUCUUCGGAUUGUAAACCCCUGUCAUGUGGGAGCAAAUUAAAAAGAUAGUACCACAAGAGGAAGAGACGGCUAACUCUGUGCCAGCAGCCGCGGUAAUACGGAGGUCUCAAGCGUUGUUCGGAAUCACUGGGCGUAAAGGGGGCGUAGGCUGUUUCGUAAGUCGUGUGUGAAAGGCGCGGGCUCAACCCGCGGACGGCACAUGAUACUGCGAGACUAGAGUAAUGGAGGGGGAACCGGAAUUCUCGGUGUAGCAGUGAAAUGCGUAGAUAUCGAGAGGAACACUCGUGGCGAAGGCGAGUACCUGGACAUUAACUGACGCUGAGGCACGAAGGCCAGGGGAGCGAAAGGGAUUAGAUACCCGAGUAGUC
rnacentral:rRNA from 1 species